rnacentral:misc_RNA from 1 species
CUGUCAAAAUCUUGCUAUGAAUCUGAAACAUGAAAAGAAGAAAACAUGAUGAAUAACCACCUGUACGAUAUUCAGACUAGCACAAUUAAAGGCAAAUUAAUGAGAAACUAGUAUAAUUUAAUACACAAUGCAUAAGUUAAAGAUUUGACAACUUUUUUACAAUUCUCAUUUUCUCGGGAUGAAUAAAAUUUCAAUGCCUUCCAGUAUAUUUUGCAACUAUGGCUGUGGUAUAUAGAAAGGAUGGAAUACUACAUAAUUAUGAGAAAUUGGUAAGAAUUUCUCUUAUUCUUGCACUCAAAAAUAAAAUAACAAAAUCAGUAAAUUGAAUAAAAAUGAUAAGAAUUCUCUAUUAUCUUGUUCCCAGCAGUAAUUUAGCAUCAAAUCAGCAGAUAUAAUUCACCAGAAUGAAGUACUGAGAGGAAAUAUUUGGAAUUGGUAUUUUAAACAAUUGAAGCUUAAAAAUCAGGCAUCUGCCUUCAUCUCAACAAAGAUUUCCCACAAUUUUUUCUAUGUAAAUUUCCAUGCUAUCUACAUUGUUA